rnacentral:tRNA from 1 species
GCACCGGUAGCUCAAUGGAUAGAGCACUUGGCUUCGGACCAAGUUGUUGGGGGUUCGAGUCCUCUCCGGUGCG